rnacentral:rRNA from 1 species
UUAAGCGACUAAGCGUACACGGUGGAUGCCCUGGCAGUCAGAGGCGAUGAAGGACGUGCUAAUCUGCGAUAAGCGUCGGUGAGGUGAUAUGAACCGUUAUAACCGGCGAUUUCCGAAUGGGGAAACCCAGUGUGUUUCGACACACUAUCAUUAACUGAAUCCAUAGGUUAAUGAGGCGAACCGGGGGAACUGAAACAUCUAAGUACCCCGAGGAAAAGAAAUCAACCGAGAUUCCCCCAGUAGCGGCGAGCGAACGGGGAGGAGCCCAGAGCCUGAAUCAGUGUGUGUGUUAGUGGAAGCGUCUGGAAAGGCGUGCGAUACAGGGUGACAGCCCCGUACACAAAAAUGCACAUAUUGUGAGCUCGAUGAGUAGGGCGGGACACGUGGUAUCCUGUCUGAAUAUGGGGGGACCAUCCUCCAAGGCUAAAUACUCCUGACUGACCGAUAGUGAACCAGUACCGUGAGGGAAAGGCGAAAAGAACCCCGGCGAGGGGAGUGAAAAAGAACCUGAAACCGUGUACGUACAAGCAGUGGGAGCCUCUUAAUGGGGUGACUGCGUACCUUUUGUAUAAUGGGUCAGCGACUUAUAUUCUGUAGCAAGGUUAACCGAAUAGGGGAGCCGAAGGGAAACCGAGUCUUAACUGGGCGUUAAGUUGCAGGGUAUAGACCCGAAACCCGGUGAUCUAGCCAUGGGCAGGUUGAAGGUUGGGUAACACUAACUGGAGGACCGAACCGACUAAUGUUGAAAAAUUAGCGGAUGACUUGUGGCUGGGGGGGAAAGGCCAAUCAAACCGGGAGAUAGCUGGUUCUCCCCGAAAGCUAUUUAGGUAGCGCCUCGUGAAUUCAUCUCCGGGGGUAGAGCACUGUUUCGGCAAGGGGGUCAUCCCGACUUACCAACCCGAUGCAAACUGCGAAUACCGGAGAAUGUUAUCACGGGAGACACACGGCGGGUGCUAACGUCCGUCGUGAAGAGGGAAACAACCCAGACCGCCAGCUAAGGUCCCAAAGUCAUGGUUAAGUGGGAAACGAUGUGGGAAGGCCCAGACAGCCAGGAUGUUGGCUUAGAAGCAGCCAUCAUUUAAAGAAAGCGUAAUAGCUCACUGGUCGAGUCGGCCUGCGCGGAAGAUGUAACGGGGCUAAACCAUGCACCGAAGCUGCGGCAGCGACACUAUGUGUUGUUGGGUAGGGGAGCGUUCUGUAAGCCUGUGAAGGUGGCCUGUGAGGGUUGCUGGAGGUAUCAGAAGUGCGAAUGCUGACAUAAGUAACGAUAAAGCGGGUGAAAAGCCCGCUCGCCGGAAGACCAAGGGUUCCUGUCCAACGUUAAUCGGGGCAGGGUGAGUCGACCCCUAAGGCGAGGCCGAAAGGCGUAGUCGAUGGGAAACAGGUUAAUAUUCCUGUACUUGGUGUUACUGCGAAGGGGGGACGGAGAAGGCUAUGUUGGCCGGGCGACGGUUGUCCCGGUUUAAGCGUGUAGGCUGGUUUUCCAGGCAAAUCCGGAAAACCAAGGCUGAGGCGUGAUGACGAGGCACUACGGUGCUGAAGCGACAAAUGCCCUGCUUCCAGGAAAAGCCUCUAAGCAUCAGGUAACAUCAAAUCGUACCCCAAACCGACACAGGUGGUCAGGUAGAGAAUACCAAGGCGCUUGAGAGAACUCGGGUGAAGGAACUAGGCAAAAUGGUGCCGUAACUUCGGGAGAAGGCACGCUGAUAUGUAGGUGAAGCGACUUGCUCGUGGAGCUGAAAUCAGUCGAAGAUACCAGCUGGCUGCAACUGUUUAUUAAAAACACAGCACUGUGCAAACACGAAAGUGGACGUAUACGGUGUGACGCCUGCCCGGUGCCGGAAGGUUAAUUGAUGGGGUUAGCGGCAACGCGAAGCUCUUGAUCGAAGCCCCGGUAAACGGCGGCCGUAACUAUAACGGUCCUAAGGUAGCGAAAUUCCUUGUCGGGUAAGUUCCGACCUGCACGAAUGGCGUAAUGAUGGCCAGGCUGUCUCCACCCGAGACUCAGUGAAAUUGAACUCGCUGUGAAGAUGCAGUGUACCCGCGGCAAGACGGAAAGACCCCGUGAACCUUUACUAUAGCUUGACACUGAACAUUGAGCCUUGAUGUGUAGGAUAGGUGGGAGGCUUUGAAGUGUGGACGCCAGUCUGCAUGGAGCCGACCUUGAAAUACCACCCUUUAAUGUUUGAUGUUCUAACGUUGGCCCGUAAUCCGGGUUGCGGACAGUGUCUGGUGGGUAGUUUGACUGGGGCGGUCUCCUCCUAAAGAGUAACGGAGGAGCACGAAGGUUGGCUAAUCCUGGUCGGACAUCAGGAGGUUAGUGCAAUGGCAUAAGCCAGCUUGACUGCGAGCGUGACGGCGCGAGCAGGUGCGAAAGCAGGUCAUAGUGAUCCGGUGGUUCUGAAUGGAAGGGCCAUCGCUCAACGGAUAAAAGGUACUCCGGGGAUAACAGGCUGAUACCGCCCAAGAGUUCAUAUCGACGGCGGUGUUUGGCACCUCGAUGUCGGCUCAUCACAUCCUGGGGCUGAAGUAGGUCCCAAGGGUAUGGCUGUUCGCCAUUUAAAGUGGUACGCGAGCUGGGUUUAGAACGUCGUGAGACAGUUCGGUCCCUAUCUGCCGUGGGCGCUGGAGAACUGAGGGGGGCUGCUCCUAGUACGAGAGGACCGGAGUGGACGCAUCACUGGUGUUCGGGUUGUCAUGCCAAUGGCACUGCCCGGUAGCUAAAUGCG